rnacentral:rRNA from 1 species
UACCUGCAGCUCGAGUGGUGAUCGUUAUUAUUGGGCCUAAAACGUCCGUAGCCGGUCUUGUAAAUGCCUAGGUAAAUCGUAUGGCUUAACUAUACGAAUUCUGGGUAGACUGUUAGACUUGAGACCGGGAGAAGCUAGAGGUACUCCUGGGGUAGAGGUGAAAUUCUGUAAUCCUAGGGGGACCACCAGUGGCGAAGGCGUCUAGCUAGAACGGGUCUGACGGUGAGGGACGAAGCCCUGGGGCGCAAACGGGAUUAGAUACCCCGGUAGUCCAGGGUGUAAACGCUGCUUGCUUGAUGUUAGUCUGGCUCCGAGCCAGAUUAGUGUCGGAGAGAAGUUGUUAAGCAAGCUGCCUGGGAAGUACGGCCGCAAGACUGAAACUUAAAGGAAUUGGCGGGGGAGCACAGCAACGGGUGGAGCGUGCGGUUU